rnacentral:rRNA from 1 species
GUAGGAUGAAACUGCGGACGGCUCAUUAUAACAGUAAUAGUUUCUUUGGUUAGUAAGUACAAGGAUAACUUUGUGAAUGAUAAAGCUAAUACUUGAGACGAUCCGGGGAGUAUUUGUACUUUCCGGCCGGUGGCCGCAAGGCUGCCGAGAAAUGACAUUCUCUUGUGAAAAAGGAUGCCACGACAAUUGAGGAAAGCGACGCUUUUUACAAGUAACCAAUGGGAAUUUCUGAUCUAUCAAUUUGUUGGUAGUAUCGAGGACUACCAAGAUUAUAACGGAUAACGAGGAAUUGGGGUUCGACAUCGGAGAGGGAGCUUUACAGAUGGCUACCACUUCUAAGGAAGGCAGCAGGCGCGUAAAUUACCCACUUUCGACAUGAAGAGGUAGUGACGACAAAUAACUCUUGGGGCCCU